GCCAUGCAAGGCAAGAGGUGACUCCCACGACCAGUGCGGGUCACAGCAUAGGUGACAGAAGCUAUGGCAGAGGCACUUGAACCCUCUCGGAGGGGAAAACCAGGCUCCCAACCUCAGCUCGCCUCCCGCAGCCAGGGACUGAGGAGAGCAGGGCCUUCCCCUCCCCGAUGGACACUUGGCAGGCCCCGCCCGGCGCCCCUGAUUGGACGAAGCGCCGGGCCCCGCCCCCUCAGCCUUUUGAGUCAGGGUCUCACCCUGUGGCCCAGGCUGCCCUCCAGUGAUGCCAUCAUGACUCAGUGCAACCUAAAACUCCCAGGUUCAAAUGAUCUACCAUCCUGACCUCCAAAAGGGCUAGAUUAUACACAUAAGCCAUGUCACACUUUAUAUGUUUCUAGGGAAGCUUUUCUAAGAAUAAAUACAUUGGAACUA
rnacentral:antisense_RNA from 1 species